AUGAGCCAGCAUGCCCAGCCUCAGGCUGGGUUUCUAAGCAAGUCUUUGACUAUGGCCUGGGGGGCACACACUCAGGACAAGACGACUUGAGGCUUUCCAGAGAGCAGCUGCUCAGGUGUGCAUUACCAUUGCAAUGAGAAAACCCCAAAAAGACAUACCUUUUACUGGAGGGGGAGAAGGCAUUCUCCAUGUUGAAAGCAUUCUCCACUCCUUUCCCGAGGGGAGCCAUGAAGGAGACACGCGUCUUUCCCAGGUGCCCCCCAUUGCCCAGUGGUCUGCCCCGUCUGCUGCACAAGGAAACAGAAACCGAGGGCUGGAGAGAAAGGGGGCUCCUGAAGAUGACUGCGUUGCAUUGAGGCAAAAGGAAAGCCGUUGUACCUUCAGACCAUCUCUCGCCAUCCACCCUGCGUGACCAUUGCCUACGCCAGUCUUCCCUCCUCCCAGGACCCCUGCCCCCCACCCCCAGCAUCCUCUCCAGUGCCCCCUCAAAGGUAGCUACUUUCCUGCUCAUUACUUUUUACCAAACCUGGAGCCGAAGCCCUGAGUGAGCAGCUGGAGGCGGGGAUGGGCCCUUUGUCCAAGCCUCAGCCCGAGGGUGGGGGUGGGGAAUGAAGCUGGGGGGCUCCGUCCUCCCCGCUCUCUCUGCCAUCUCCCUCGCUGACUUUUGUCCUUGGAUCGCCUGCGUGAUCAGAAGAGGUUUCAUUCUCUGGCAACUGUGCAGCCAUUAGCGAGAGGCAGACGCAUUACCCUCUCACCGCACAAUCGUUGGCUACUUCAGUUAUUCUAUUUCACCUGAAGACUUUAUUUGCAGCCGAGCCUCCCCUCCGGAGCAGGGCAGGCCCCAUCUGUCGGACAGUUUGCUCCAGCGUCUCCGGCCAUUAUGCCUCCACUUGGAGGACGGGAUGGAUGGCAUGCGUGCAAGGGAGCAGGGGAGAGAGCGAGCUGGGGAGAGAGCGUGCGUGUCUGCCUGCCUGCACUCCCUCCCACUUGUCUCUUUAUCAUUCUCCCAGGGCCGAACAGAACUUGCUUUGAAGAGUGAUGUCAGACGUGUACAAAACAGAGCGAUAAAACCUAAUGCACUCGCGCCCCUUUGUCUGCCU
rnacentral:lncRNA from 1 species